rnacentral:rRNA from 1 species
GCCUAAAGCGGCCGUAGCCGGUCUUCUAAAUCCUUGGGUAAAUCGGGCAGCUUAACUGUCCGAAUUCCGGGGAGACUGGGAGACUUGGGACCGGGAGAGGUCAGAGGUACUUCUGGGGUAGGGGUAAAAUCCUGUAAUCCUGGAAGGACCACCGGUGGCGAAGGCGUCUGACUAGAACGGAUCCGACGGUGAGGGACGAAGCCCUGGGGCGCAAACGGGAUUAGAUACCCCGGUAGUCCAGGGUGUAAACGCUGCGGGCUUGGUGUUGGGGGUCCUUAGUGGGCGCCCAGUGCCGGAGAGAAGUUGUUAAGCCUGCUGCUUGGGGAGUAUGUCCGCAAGGAUGAAACUUAAAGGAAUUGGCGGGGGAGCACCGCAACGGGAGGAGCGUGCGGUUCAAUUGGAUUCAACGCCGAAAAACUCACCAGGAGCGACGGAUAUAUGAAGGUCAAGCUGAUGACUUUACCUGAUUUUCCGAGAGGUGGUGCAUGGCCGUCGUCAGUUCGUACCGUAAGGCGUUCUCUUAAGUGAGAUAACGAACGAGACCCUCACCAUUAAUUGCUAGUCCCUUCUCCGGAGGGGACGCACAUUAAUGGNACCGCUGGCGCUAAGUCAGAGGAAGGAGAGGUCAACGGUAGGUCCGCAUGCCCCGAA